GAUUCAGUAGUGUAGGGGUAUCAUGAGCGCUUGCCAUUCAGCAUUCUGCGCUCGACCCGGGUUCGAAUCCCGGCUGAAUCA
rfam:Pyronema omphalodes CBS 100304, CBS100304, WGS project CATG01000000 data, contig: Pcon_v1_contig591